rnacentral:rRNA from 1 species
ACUGAAACAUCUAAGUACCUGGAGGAGAAGAAAACAAAAGUGAUUCCGUUAGUAGUGGCGAGCGAACGCGGAUUAGCCCAAACCAGUGUUGUUACGGCAAUACUGGGGUUGUAGGACUGCAAGAUUGUAUGAUUCAUGAAUUAGAACUGUUUGGAAAGACAGACCACAGAGGGUGAUAGUCCCGUAUAGGUAAGUGAAUUAAUACAUAGCAGUAUCCUGAGUAGCGCGGGACACGUGUAAUCCUGUGUGAAUUUGGCGGGACCAUCCGCUAAGGCUAAAUACUCCUGAGAGACCGAUAGUGAACCAGUACCGUGAGGGAAAGGUGAAAAGAACCUUGAAUAAAGGAGUGAAAUAGAACCUGAAACCAUACGCUUACAAGCGGUCGGAGCCCUUUGGGGUGACGGCGUGCCUUUUGCAUAAUGAGCCUACGAGUUACCGUUUCUAGCAAGGUUAAGCACUUAUGGUGCGGAUCCGUAGCGAAAGCGAGUCUGAAUAGGGCGUUUUAGUUAGUGGCGGUAGACGCGAAACCGUGUGAUCUACCCAUGGGCAGGGUGAAGCUGUGGUAACACACAGUGGAGGCCCGAACCCGUUGACGUUGAAAAGUCUUGGGAUGACCUGUGGGUAGGGGUGAAAGGCCAAUCAAACUCGGAAAUAGCUCGUACUCCCCGAAAUGCAUUUAGGUGCAGCGUAUUAUUAGUUUUAUAGAGGUAGAGCUACUGAUUGGAUGCGGGGGCUUCACCGCCUACCAAUUCCUGACAAACUCCGAAUGCUAU